AUUGAACGCUGGCGGCAGGCCUAACACAUGCAAGUCGAGCGCGCGGCGGGGGGGUGAGUAAUGUAUGGGGGCUGCCCGUUAGGGGGGGAGAUAUACUGGAGACGGUAGCUAAUACCACAUACUAUCGUAGAACCCAGAUGGGAUUAGCUAGUAGGUGUGGUAAUGGCUCACCACGGCGACGAUCCCUAGCUGGUCUGAGAGGAUGAUCAGCCAAACUGGAACUGAGACACGGCCCAGACUCCUACGGAGGCAGCAGUGGGGAAUAUUGCACAAUGGGCGCAAGCCUGAUGCAGCCAUGCCGCGUGUAUGAAGAAGGCCCUAGGGUUGUAAAGUACUUUCAGUCGGGAGGCGUUACCCGCAGAAGAAGCACCGGCUAACUCCGUGCCAGCAGCCGCGGUAAUAC
rnacentral:rRNA from 1 species